rnacentral:rRNA from 1 species
ACGCUCGACACCUACGGGAGCAGCAGUCGGGAAUAUUGCGCAAUGGAGGAAACUCUGACGCAGUGACGCCGCGUGCAGGAAGAAGGUUUUCGGAUUGUAAACUGCUUUAGACAGGGAAGAAAAAGGACAGUACCUGUAGAAUAAGCUCCGGCUAACUACGUGCCAGCAGCCGCGGUAAUCUGAGGCGGGCUGGACGAAGGC